UACGGAGGGUGCAAGCGUUGUCCGGAUUUAUUGGGUUUAAAGGGUGCGUAGGCGGCUUGAUAAGUCCGUGGUGAAAGCCAACAGCUCAACUGUUGAACUGCCAUGGAUACUGUCAGGCUUGAGUACAGACGAGGUAGGCGGAAUUGAUGGUGUAGCGGUGAAAUGCAUAGAUACCGUCAAGAACACCGAUUGCGAAGGCAGCCUACUGGAGGUCAACCGACGCUCAGGCACGAAAGCGUGGGGAUCAAACAGG
rnacentral:rRNA from 1 species